UACUAUGAAAUUCAUAAUCGUUAGUAUUAAUUGCAUACAUUUGCCUUAUGAAUCCCAUGCAAAAUGAUUAUGAAUAAAAAUCAUAAGGUAAACUUAUGAAACAAUAUGUCAUUUCAUGUGUUCAUCCACAGGAAAAUUUUCACCUCAGUGUUUUCGUUCUUUGCAUCCCAGUCAACCAUAUUUGGCAAAAUUGCAAAUAAAUUAUGCAGUGCCACGGUUUUGGACAACCUUCCGUUAUCAGAUACAGCAGGUCCAACGAGUGUAGUUUAGAGACCACAGAAAGGAAGCUGCUAUAUUGAUGCUUCCUGCCCCCUUGCUGCAGGAAAUCACUUUACAUCAAGUUAGUCCACUCACAUCAACGUACUUUAUACUCCUCCUCCUGAACUGUGAGUCCUCAAAAGAUGAGAAGUUUGAUGCAAGAAUUCUUGGUCCAUGGCUGCACCAAGUGUGGUAUGCUUGUUCUCCUGCUGGAGUUUCAGAGACGGAUAGCAGAAGCAUGUUCAUUGUCACGGUGAUCAGUUUGGAACAAGAUAUUAAUCCAAAAAUAGAGAAAGACUUAGUAUCAUACAAGCAUUUUGCCUUCCAAAAUAUAUAUCGCAAGAUGGCUGGAUCAAUCAAUUGAAAGAUUCAUUCGUAGCUAGC